AAAUAAUAUCGUUAGGGCGUACAGAGGAUGCCUUGGCGGAAAACACCGAUGAAGGACGUAGCAAGUCGACGAUAUGCUUCGGGGAGCUGACAUGCGAGCUUUGAUCCGAAGAUCUCCCAAUGGGGAAACCCAGUGGAGUAAACCUCCAUUACUGCGUAUUGAAAUUUAGUUUCUUACGAAGCUGAUAUUAGGUGCGUGGAGGGAACCCGGCGAACUGAACCAUCUUAGUAACCGGAGGAAAAGAAAGUAACAAUAAUUAGCUUUGCUAAUUAAUUAAGCUUUUGCUUAAUUAACGAUUCCCUGAGUAGCGGUGAGCGAAACGGGAGUAGCCCGCGGUUGAAAAAUUGGAUUAUUUCUAGCAGAACUACCUGGAAUCGGUAGGCCAUAGAAAGCAAUCGCCUUGUAUGCGAAAGGAAUAAUCGAUUACCGUGAAUUAAUUUCUUUUGAAAUUAAUUACUGAUUAGCAUGGGACACGUGAAAUCCCGUGUGAAUGUGGGGUUUGUUCGCAAACUCCCAAAGGGGGACCUACCCCUAAGGCUAAAUAUGUUUUCCGACCGAUAG
rnacentral:rRNA from 1 species